rnacentral:misc_RNA from 1 species
GAUGAAGAACGUAGCGAAAUGCGAUAAGUAAUGUGAAUUGCAGAAUUCAGUGAAUCAUCGAAUCUUUGAACGCACAUUGCGCCCCCUGGUAUUCCGGGGGGCAUGCCUGUCCGAGCGUCAUUACAACCCUCAAGCUCAGCUUGGUGUUGGGCCCCGCCGCCCCGGCGGGCCCUAAAGUCAGUGGCGGUGCCGUCCGGCUCCGAGCGUAGUAAUACUCCUCGCGAUUGAGUCCGGUAGGUCUACUUGCCAGCAACCCCCAAUUUUUACAGGUUGACCUCGGAUCAGGUAGGGAUACCCGCUGAACUUAAGCAUAUCAAUAAGCGGAGGA